AUCAACUGGCCAAGGGAUGAGGACAUCGAUGAGGACAUCGUCAGCCUGGAGGACCACUGCAGAAUAAUGACCUUCCUCCGUAAAUUUAUAGAGGAUGGUACUCCGGAAGUCCUGAAGACGUUGCUCACGUUCUGGACUGGCUGGGGAGUUGUUUCCUCAAACUUGGAGGUGGAAAUAAUCGAUUGUGCCCUACCACAGUCAUCAACUUGUUUUUUGACUCUAAAGCUGUCAAAAAAUACUAUGAACUAUAAAGACUUUGUUCAUGACUUGAUGGCAAGCAUAUCUUCUUCCUACUCUGGAUUUGGUCAGAUUUGAGCACUGACAGAGACAAAGGUUCAGAUCUCAUUUAGUUCUGUUCACAAGCACUGAUAGAGACAGUGACACAACAAGUUCAUAUCUAAUUUAGUUGUAUUUGUUCAAAGCACUGGUGGUAAUAAAAACAUUCGACAAAUGAA